AACAAGCAACUAUAGCAAGAGUGUACACCUGAACCCAUUCCGAACUCAGUAGUUAAGCCUCUUAGCGUCGAAGAUACCAGUAAUGGGAAAAUAGAGCGUUGCUUUUU
rnacentral:rRNA from 1 species